CCUACGGGCGGCAGCAGUGGGGAAUAUUGGACAAUGGGGGGAACCCUGAUCCAGCGACGCCGCGUGAGUGAAGAAGUAUUUCGGUAUGUAAAGCUCUAUCAGCAGGGAAGAAAGAAAUGACGGUACCUGACUAAGAAGCCCCGACUAACUACGUGCCAGCAGCCGCGGUAAUACGUAGGGGGCAAGCGUUAUCCGGAUUUACUGGGUGUAAAGGGAGCGUAGACGGCGAUGCAAGUCUGAAGUGAAAGGCGGGGGCCCAACCCCCGGACUGCUUUGGAAACUGGAUGGCGGGAGUGCAGGGGAGGUAAGUGGAAUUCCUAGUGUAGCGGUGAAAUGCGUAGAUAUUAGGAGGAACACCAGUGGCGAAGGCGGCUUACUGGACUGUAACUGACGUUGAGGCUCGAAAGCGUGGGGAGCAAACAGGAUUAGAUACCCUUGUAGUC
rnacentral:rRNA from 1 species